rnacentral:rRNA from 1 species
GACGAACGCUGGCGGCGUGCCUAAUACAUGCAAGUCGAGCGAACAGAUGAGGAGCUUGCUCCUCUGACGUUAGCGGCGGACGGGUGAGUAACACGUGGAUAACCUACCUAUAAGACUGGGAUAACUUCGGGAAACCGGAGCUAAUACCGGAUAAUAUAUUGAACCGCAUGGUUCAAUAGUGAAGGACGGUUUUGCUGUCACUUAUAGAUGGAUCCGCGCCGCAUUAGCUAGUUGGUAAGGUAACGGCUUACCAAGGCAACGAUGCGUAGCCGACCUGAGAGGGUGAUCGGCCACACUGGAACUGAGACACGGUCCAGACUCCUACGGGAGGCAGCAGUAGGGAAUCUUCCGCAAUGGGCGAAAGCCUGACGGAGCAACGCCGCGUGAGUGAUGAAGGUCUUCGGAUCGUAAAACUCUGUUAUUAGGGAAGAACAAAUGUGUAAGUAACUAUGCACGUCUUGACGGUACCUAAUCAGAAAGCCACGGCUAACUACGUG